GAGGUUGAACGGCCACAUUGGGACUGAGACACGGCCCAGACUCCUACGGGAGGCAGCAGUGGGGGAUAUUGCACAAUGGGGGAAACCCUGAUGCAGCGACGCCGCGUGGAGGAAGAAGGUUUUCGGAUUGUAAACUCCUGUCGUUAGGGACGAUAAUGACGGUACCUAACAAGAAAGCACCGGCUAACUACGUGCCAGCAGCCGCGGUAAAACGUAGGGUGCAAGCGUUGUCCGGAAUUACUGGGUGUAAAGGGAGCGCAGGCGGGAAGACAAGUUGGAAGUGAAAACCAUGGGCUCAACCCAUGAAUUGCUUUCAAAACUGUUUUUCUUGAGUAGUGCAGAGGUAGAUGGAAUUCCCGGUGUAGCGGUGGAAUGCGUAGAUAUCGGGAGGAACACCAGUGGCGAAGGCGGUCUACUGGGCACCAACUGACGCUGAGGCUCGAAAGCAUGGGUAGCAAACAGGAUUAGAUACCCUGGUAGUCCAUGCCGUAAACGAUGAUUACUAGGUGUUGGGGGAUUGACCCCCUCAGUGCCGCAGUUAACACAAUAAGUAAUCCACCUGGGGAGUACGACCGCAAGGUUGAAACUCAAAGGAAUUGACGGGGGCCCGCACAAGCAGUGGAGUGACAUCGUAUGCAUAGCUCAGAGAUGAGUGAAAUCUCUUCGGAGACAUAUAGACAGGUGGUGCAUGGUUGUCGUCAGCUCGUGUCGUGAGAUGUUGGGUUAAGUCCCGCAACGAGCGCAACCCUUACUGUUAGUUGCUACGCAAGAGCACUCUAGCAGGACUGCCGUUGACAAAACGGAGGAAGGUGGGGAUGACGUCAAAUCAUCAUGCCCCUUAUGACCUGGGCCUCACACGUACUACAAUGGCUGUCAACAGAGGGAUGCAAAGCCGCGAGGUGGAGCGAACCCCUAAAAGCAGUCUUAGUUCGGAUUGUAGGCUGCAACCCGCCUACAUGAAGUCGGAAUUGCUAGUAAUCGCAGAUCAGCAUGCUGCGGUGAAUACGUUCCCGGGCCUUGUACACACCGCCCGUCACGCCAUGGGAGUCGGUAACACCCGAAGCCUGUAGUCUAACCGCAAGGAGGACGCAGUCGAAGGUGGGAUUGAUGACUGGGGUGAAGUCGUAACAAGGUAGCCGUAUCGGAAGGUGCGGC
rnacentral:rRNA from 1 species